GGUGAAAUGGCUCAAUCUGCUUUACAACAACUUCACUGCAUUUUCUAGCGACCAAGAACAUUUAAUCUCCUUCAGUGAAAAGAAUGACACUACUGCAGCAGAUUAUGUAGAAGGCAAGCUUCUAUUCAAUCAGUCACCCCUGGAACUUUCCUUUUAUCCAGAUUCUGACCAUCAAAGAAUAACUUCACUGGUAACUCAAAAUGGCAUAAUCUACAUCAUAGAACUUGUCAAAUACUAUGACAACAACUCUCAAGCAUUCGUGACCAAGGAUGUGGCCGAUUUGGUGAAAGGGUUAAAGUUCGUACCAACAUUUAUGUUCGAAAAAGAUGCAUCGUACGAGG
rnacentral:sRNA from 1 species